GAUGAAGAACGUAGCGAAAUGCGAUAAGUAGUGUGAAUUGCAGAAUUCCGUGAAUCUUCGAAUCUUUGAACGCACAUUGCGCCUCCUGGUAAUCCGUGAGGCAUGCCUGUUCGAGCGUCACCAAAAUCAAAUCAACCACUCCGGUGAUUGGUCAUGGAGGAAGAGUCCGUCGUGUUGUGGUCUCCCCUCCCAAAAUAAAUGGCGGAAAGUUGCUGGCACUCGGUGUAGGAGUAUUAUUCGCCGAUUGUCCAGUGUCGUUCCUGCCGUCAAAUCCCCACAAUUAUCUUGAUUGACCUCGGAUCAGGUAGGGAUACCCGCUGAACUUAAGCAUAUCAAUAAGCGGAGGA
rnacentral:misc_RNA from 1 species